ACGGGUGAGUAACGCGUAGGAAUCUACCUAGUAGUGGGGGACAACGUCUCGAAAGGGACGCUAAUACCGCAUACGCCCUACGGGGGAAAGGGGGGAUCUUCGGACCUCUCGCUAUUAGAUGAGCCUGCGUCGGAUUAGCUAGUUGGUGGGGUAAAGGCCUACCAAGGCGACGAUCCGUAGCUGGUCUGAGAGGAUGAUCAGCCACACCGGAACUGAGACACGGUCCGGACUCCUACGGGAGGCAGCAGUGGGGAAUAUUGGACAAUGGGGGCAACCCUGAUCCAGCCAUGCCGCGUGUGUGAAGAAGGCCUUCGGGUUGUAAAGCACUUUAGGGGGGGAGGAAGGUCCCAAAGCGAAUACCUUUGGGAAUUGACGUUACCCCCAGAAUAAGCACCGGCUAACUCCGUGCCAGCAGCCGCGGUAAUACGGAGGGUGCAAGCGUUAAUCGGAAUUACUGGGCGUAAAGCGCGCGUAGGCGGUUAGGUAAGUCGAUUGUGAAAUCCCCGGGCUCAACCUGGGAAUUGCAGUCGAGACUGUCUGACUAGAGUGUAGGAGAGGGUGGUGGAAUUCCCGGUGUAGCGGUGAAAUGCGU
rnacentral:rRNA from 1 species